GAGGGGGUCGGUGGAAGGCUGGUUAAACCGUUUGGUUUUCGACCACUAGGACCCGGGUUCGAGUCCCGCAUUGGACACUUUUUCU